rfam:Picea glauca, whole genome shotgun sequence.
ACAUGCCUACAACAUAGUGUUAAUGCACUGAAUCCCAUUAUAACUCCACAAUUAAGCACACUCAGGCUAGAGAAGUACUGUGAUGGGUGACCGCCUGGGAAGUCCUAGUGUUUUACAUGUC